CCUACGGGAUGCAGCAGUGGGGAAUAUUGGACAAUGGGCGAAAGCCUGAUCCAGCAAUGCCGCGUGUGUGAAGAAGGUCUUCGGAUUGUAAAGCACUUUCGACGGGGACGAUAAUGACGGUACCCGUAGAAGAAGCCCCGGCUAACUUCGUGCCAGCAGCCGCGGUAAUACGAAGGGGGCUAGCGUUGCUCGGAAUGACUGGGCGUAAAGGGCGCGUAGGCGGUUUAUGCAGUCAGAUGUGAAAUCCCCGGGCUUAACCUGGGAACUGCAUUUGAGACGCAUAGACUAGAGGUCGAGAGAGGGUUGUGGAAUUCCCAGUGUAGAGGUGAAAUUCGUAGAUAUUGGGAAGAACACCGGUGGCGAAGGCGGCAACCUGGCUCGAUACUGACGCUGAGGCGCGAAAGCGUGGGGAGCAAACAGGAUUAGAUACCCUCGUAGUC
rnacentral:rRNA from 1 species